rnacentral:rRNA from 1 species
UUUGGACAAUGGGGGACACCAUGAUCCAGCCAUAUCGCGUGUAUGUUGAAGGCCUNCGNNUUGUANANUACUUUUUGCAGAGANNNNNAUGUAUCUCCUNAUCCGAGAUACUGCUGACGGUAUCUCAAGAAUAAGCACCGGCUACGUACACGCAAGAAGCCGCGCUAAUGAGAAGAGUGCAAGCGUUAAUCGGAAUUACUGUGCGUAAAGCGUGUGUAGGCGGCUCGGAAAGAAAGAUGUGAAAUCCCACGGCUCAACCUUGGAACUGCAUUUUUAACUGCCGAGCUAGAGUAUUUCAGAGGAGGGUAGAAUUCCACGUGUAGCAGUGAAAUGCGUAGAUAUGUGGAGGAAUACCGAUGGCGAAGGCAGCCCCCUGGGAUAAUACUGACGCUCAGACACGAAAGCGUGGGGAGCAAACAG